CUCUUAUUCAGUCCUUCUUAGGAUGGGAAUGGAACUGGAUAAGAUCUGGUUGAGUUAGAAUUCAAAAGAGUUUUGAAUUCAAACUCAAAUGAGUCCACAUCCUAUCUUAUCUCCUCCUAUUCAGCAAGCAUUAAAAGACCUAUUUUUUGUGUGUUGAAUAGGCCUGGUUUUUCCACCAUGAGAAGGCUGAGAGAAGGGUAGCCGAACUCCAGAGAGGGGG
rnacentral:lncRNA from 1 species